rnacentral:rRNA from 1 species
AUUGAACGCUGGCGGCAGGCCUAACACAUGCAAGUCGAGCGGAUGACGGGAGCUUGCUCCUUGAUUCAGCGGCGAACGGGUGAGUAAUGCCUAGGAAUCUGCCUGGUAGUGGGGGACAACGUUUCGAAAGGAACGCUAGUACCGCAUACGUCCUACGGGAGAAAGCAGGGGACCUUCGGGCCUUGCGCUAUCAGAUGAGCCUAGGUCGGAUUAGCUAGUUGGUGGGGUAAUGGCUCACCAAGGCGACGAUCCGUAACUGGUCUGAGAGGAUGAUCAGGCACACUGGAACUGAGACACGGUCCAGACUCCUACGGGAGGCAGCAGUGGGGAAUAUCGGACAAUGGGCGAAAGCCUGAUCCAGCCAUGCCGCGUGUGUGAAGAAGGUCUUCGGAUUGUAAAGCACUUUAAGUUGGGAGGAAGGGCAGUAAGUUAAUACCUUGCUGUUUUGACGUUACCGACAGAAUAAGCACCGGCUAACUCUGUGCCAGCCGCCGCAGUAACAC